rnacentral:misc_RNA from 1 species
GUGAAUCAUCAAAUUUUUGAACGCAAAUUGCACUCUCUUCUGAGAGGAUGCCUGUUUGAGUGUCAGCCUAAAGAAAAAAUCGACAUAGUCUCUUUUUCGCGGUGACAUUCUUCGUAAAUUUUGUCAUCUUAAACCAUUUGGUUUUAAACGGCUUAAAAUUUUCUUUACGAUUCCACUAACGCUUCUAAGAUUUACUUCUUAUACCAUUAAGGUAUCUAUCUUUAGUAUACUUGGCCGUUUCAUCGGAUCUCAUCCAUAUAUUUUUCGUUA